AAUGUCUUGUAAUUGGAAUGAUGGUGACCCAAACCCUCACCAGAGUAGCAAUUGGAGGGCAAGUCUGGUGCCAGCAGCCGCGGUAAUUCCAGCUCCAAUAGCGUAUAUUAAACUUGUUGCAGUUAAAAAGCUCGUAGUUGUAUUUUUGCGUUGACGGUUUGACCAUUUGGUUGGUUAUUUCGUUUUCGCUUUUGGGAAUUUCCCUUUUUACUUUGAGAAAAUUAGAGUGUUUCAAGCAGACUUUUGUCUUGAAUACUUCAGCAUGGAAUAAUAGAGUAGGACUUUGGUUCUAUUUUGUUGGUUAUUGAACCUUAGUAAUGGUUAAUAGGAACGGUUGGGGGCAUUCGUAUUUAAAAAAA
rnacentral:rRNA from 1 species